UUUUACUUAGUUUAAUAAAUCAAAAUAAUAACUUGUCAAGUUAUAGAUAAUAUAAUUAUUAGUAAAAA
rnacentral:tRNA from 1 species